CCGGAUCCAAGUGUUCAGCAAAGCUCCUUGUAGGAGCUGCCACAGCAUCUCUGUACCACGUUACCCCUCAGAGCUCUGUCCAGGAGUGAGGGAGCUGUCUCAGACACAGCAUGAGCUGCCAAGGGCUGGGUCAGCGCAGACAGCACGUCUGUCCUGGACUGCAGCAGGAGAAACCCUGUGAGCAUCGCUGCCAUAAGCCAAGCGAGAAACUUCAGCUGAAAUACACAAAUGGGUUUGCACCAGAAACUUUAUUCUUGGAAAACGUAAUUUGGUAGAAUCAUAGAUCAUUAAGUUUGGAAAAGAGCUCUAAACCCAUCUAAUCCAACCACCAGCCCACCCCCACCAUGCUCGCUAACCACAUCCCUCAGUGCCACCUCCACGUAGUUCUGCAGCACCUCCAGGGAUGGUGACUCCACCACCUCCCUGGGCAGUCUGUUGAGUUCCUCAUCCCUGUGACUUCCUCUAUCUUUCUCCUUCUCCCUCCCUCUCUCUCUGAGGAACGAGAACAUUCAUCACGAUCAGAGUACUGCCAUCAUCCACUCACCUAUCCUGGGGUAUAUAUAUAUUGCAAAAGCUUUCCUUCCUCUUGCCAUCUGAAUUAAUGUCCCACUUGUGAUAUGCUGUCAUUCCCUUGAGGUAGAAUGAAGAAGGCCAUACUUCUCUUAACAUCUGUAAGCUGCACAAUGAUUCAGAGCUACCACAGUAUGAAGCCUUCUUCCAUCAGAAAACAAUGUACAGGAUUAGAGGUGAAGAGAGAAGUAAUGACAUCUGAUCCAACUUCCCUUGGGGAAAGGAGACACCCAUUUCCAUUUAAUCCUUACAGACAUCCCUUUCCUGGUGAUGCAGCUGUUCUUCAAGAAGGUGGGAUGAAUUUGGAGGCUGAGAGGCUCCCAAAUGAGAUGUCCAUGUUUUAGAUAUCCCUGUGGAUAACCAAUUUAGAAGUGUCCUUAUCAGAGCUAGGCGGAAGCAGAGGUGUUGAGAUUUAAUAGACGAAAACUAGGAGUUGAGAUCAGAGUUACAACUGAGCUGAAACCAUCCAGGGUAACGUGCACCCCAAACCCUCACUACAAAUCAGGGAUCACUACAGAAUGGCUGUUGGCUUCAUCUCAGUUUGAUCUGAAGGAACUAAGUGUGGAAAAACAUUCAUGGUGGUCUCAGUGUUGAGAGGGUGAGCUCUGUCUCUAGCUCUUGUGGUUUUAGUGGCCGUGUGUCUUACUCAUCCUUCUGGUGAGCUGUGCCUGGGGACGCAGAGCCUCUGGGCGGCUGAUGCACACUACUUAUGGAAAAGAACUCAAGGAAGAAAGGUUUGAAGUGCCGAGGGCUUUUACAGGUGUGUGUUUGUAGCCUCGUAAAGUGGUUUGGGUUGGAAGGGACCUUAAAGCCCACCCAGUUCCAACCCCCUGCCUCAGGCAGGGUUGCCACCCACUAGAGCAGGUUGCCCAGGGCAAUGUGUUCUGCAAGAAGGGUAAUGAAAUGGUGUGCUCUGUGCGGCACGCCUCUGAAGACGCAGAGUCCUUUCACAUUAUUAGCCCCCUUCACCUGUGGAAAGACAGCCAUCAUUCCUAUUCUUCUAGGACAUUUUUGAACAAAACCUUCGCAACAGGACAGAGCAACAUGAGAGGAGGAUAAGAAGCAUGCAUGCUUUUAAUACCACAAACCAAGCAUGAAGAUAAGACUUGUUCUGUCUUUGGAGCUUCCCAAGUGAGGGGGGAGCUUGCAGCAAGGCCCG
ensembl:lncRNA